rnacentral:rRNA from 1 species
AUACGUAGGCAGCAAGCGUUGUUCGGAAUUACUGGGCGUAAAGCGAGUGUAGGCGGCUUGCCAAGUCUGUUGUGAAAUCUCCCGGCUCAACCGGGAGGGUGCGGCGGAAACUGGCAGGCUAGAGUACGGAAGAGGAGAGUGGAAUUCCUGGUGUAGCGGUGAAAUGCGUAGAUAUCAGGAGGAACACCGGUGGUGAAGACGGCUCUCUGGACCGACACUGACGCUGAGACUCGAAAGCGUGGGGAGCAAACAGGAUUAGAAACCCCGGUAGUCC